UUCUGCCAGAUGUGACAGUACACGGUGUCCCGAAAGUCUUGAUGCAAUUUUAGCAAUUAAAGUGUAAAAAUGCACUAAGACUUUUAGGACACCCUGCACAUACAGUGUUCUGCAUCUG
rnacentral:precursor_RNA from 12 species